AUUGAACGCUGGCGGCAGGCCUAACACAUGCAAGUCGAGCGGAGCGGCGGUCGGGGGAGUAAUGCCUAGGAAUCUGCCUGGUCGUGGGGGAGAACGUCCGGAAACGGGCGCUAUUACUGCAUCCUAUCAGAUUAGCCUAGGUCGGAUUAGCUAGUUGGUGGGGUAAAGGUAUACCAAGGCGACGAUCCGUAUCUGGUCUGAGAGGAUGAUCAGUCACACUGGAACUGAGACACGGUCCAGACUCCUACGGGAGGCAGCAGUGGGGAAUAUUGGACAAUGGGCGAAAGCCUGAUGCAGCCAUGCCGCGUGUGUGAAGAAGGUCUUCGGGUUGUAAAGCACUUUAAGUUGGGAGGCGUUACCAGCAGAAUAAGCACCGGCUAACUUCGUGCCAGCAGCCGCGGUAAUUC
rnacentral:rRNA from 1 species